rnacentral:lncRNA from 1 species
GUUGUAUUAUUUAGGAAAAAAAUUUUGAAACAUACAUACAUGUCCCGAUACGAAAUUCCAACAAUGCAACAUGUCUGCUUUCUAACAAUGGUAUCAGAGCCAUUAGUUUUUUUUAUAUGCAUGAUCUAAUUUUUGAUUUAGAUCUAAAAGUUUGAGUGGUUUAAUAUUGAUAUUGUGCUGAUAUAAAAUUAUCCUGAUAUAGGAUUAAUCCUCUAUAUUAUAAAGAUUGUCCCAACACAAGAUUGAUCAUUUUGAAAAUUAUUUUUAAAAUAUUUAAAUCAAUCUUUUAGAUCUG